UACGGAGGAUCCAAGCGUUAUCCGGAAUCAUUGGGUUUAAAGGGUCCGUAGGCGGUUUUGUAAGUCAGUGGUGAAAUCUGGUCGCUCAACGAUCAAACGGCCAUUGAUACUGCAGAACUUGAAUUAUUGUGAAGUAACUAGAAUAUGUAGUGUAGCGGUGAAAUGCUUAGAUAUUACAUGGAAUACCAAUUGCGAAGGCAGGUUACUAACAGUGGAUUGACGCUGAUGGACGAAAGCGUGGGGAGCGAACAGG
rnacentral:rRNA from 1 species